CCUACGGGUGGCAGCAGUGAGGAAUAUUGGUCAAUGGACGAGAGUCUGAACCAGCCAAGUAGCGUGAAGGAUGACUGCCCUAUGGGUUGUAAACUUCUUUUAUAUGGGAAUAAAAUGUUCCACGUGUGGGAUUUUGUAUGUACCAUAUGAAUAAGGAUCGGCUAACUCCGUGCCAGCAGCCGCGGUGAUACGGAGGAUCCGAGCGUUAUCCGGAUUUAUUGGGUUUAAAGGGAGCGUAGGUGGAUUGUUAAGUCAGUUGUGAAAGUUUGCGGCUCAACCGUAAAAUUGCAGUUGAAACUGGCAGUCUUGAGUACAGUAGAGGUGGGCGGAAUUCGUGGUGUAGCGGUGAAAUGCUUAGAUAUCACGAAGAACUCCGAUUGCGAAGGCAGUUCACUGGACUGCAACUGACACUGAGGCUCGAAAGUGUGGGUAUCAAACAGGAUUAGAUACCCGUGUAGUC
rnacentral:rRNA from 1 species